rnacentral:rRNA from 1 species
CCUACGGGAGGCAGCAGUAAGGAAUAUUGGUCAAUGGACGAAAGUCUGAACCAGCCAUGCCGCGUGAAGGAUGAAGGCCCUCUGGGUUGUAAACUUCUUUUAUCUGGGACGAAAAAAGCUCAUUCUUGAGCACUUGACGGUACCAGAGGAAUAAGCACCGGCUAACUCCGUGCCAGCAGCCGCGGUAAUACGGAGGGUGCAAGCGUUAUCCGGAUUCACUGGGUUUAAAGGGUGCGUAGGUGGGUCUGUAAGUCAGUGGUGAAAUCUCCGAGCUUAACUCGGAAACUGCCAUUGAUACUAUAGGUCUUGAAUCAUCUGGAGGUAAGCGGAAUAUGUCAUGUAGCGGUGAAAUGCUUAGAUAUGACAUAGAACACCAAUUGCGAAGGCAGCUUACUACGGGUGCAUUGACACUGAGGCACGAAAGCGUGGGGAUCAAACAGGAUUAGAUACCCUGGUAGUCCACGCCCUAAACGAUGGAUACUCGACAUCAGCGAUACACUGUUGGUGUGUGAGNGAAGAGAUAAGUAAUCCUACCGUUGGAGUACGACCGCGAGUUAGAACGUUAAUAGAGUUAGAGGCGNGAGAGNGCGAGGACGACGACGAGGGAGGAGG